rnacentral:rRNA from 1 species
ACUCCUACGGGAGGCAGCAGUGGGGAAUAUUGCACAAUGGGGGAAACCCUGAUGCAGCCAUGCCGCGUGUGUGAAGAAGGCCUUCGGGUUGUAAAGCACUUUCAGUAGGGAGGAAGGUAGUGUAGUUAACACCUGCAUUAUUUGACGUUACCUACAGAAGAAGCACCGGCUAACUCCGUGCCAGCAGCCGCGGUAAUACGGAGGGUGCGAGCGUUAAUCGGAAUUACUGGGCGUAAAGCGCAUGCAGGCGGCCUGUUAAGUCAGAUGUGAAAGCCCGGGGCUUAACCUCGGAAUUGCAUUUGAAACUGGCAGGCUAGAGUCUUGUAGAGGGGUGAGAUUAUCAGGUGUAGCGGUGAAAUGCGUAGAGAUCUGAAGGAAUACCAGUGGCGAAGGCGGCCCCCUCGAG